AAAGAUUCAGAGAGAGAAGACCAACAGAGACAGAGACAGAGACAGAGACAGAGACAGACAGAUUAGAAAAAAAAACUGGUCUAGUUUAAGGAACUUGUCCAUGCAGUUAUAGGCUUACAAAUCUGGUAUUUGUGUGGUGGAGCAGCAGGUGGGAAACAGAAGCAAGAGUUGAUGAUAAGAAUCUUGAGUAAUGACUUCUUCUUUUCUCAGAGACCUCAGUGUUUGCUCUAAAGGCUUUCCAAAUGACUGAGGGAACUCUCUCUCUCUCCCCCCCCCCUCCCCACACGCACUCCUCACUGGGGUGAGUCCCUUCACUGAAAGCCAUCUGCCUGCAGAUGUUACAAAUACCUUUAGGGAAUCACCCAGGCCAAUGUUGACACUGCUCCUGGGCAGGUUAUCAUUUAAGGUCCCACAUACGUGCUGGAUUGGCGCCGCUAUCAUGGUGUCGUUUGGAAGAGGUUCUGUCACUUCAAGCCUGUAACUACACCUUCAUUUGGACUUACUUUGCUAAGUCUCUUUCUUGCUGUUAUUGUCACCAGAGGAAAAACUAGUAGAUGAUCUCAACCUACAGUAGGCUACCAACCUCAGGACGUCCAUGCAUCCAACACCAGCAGAGCAAACAGAGCCCUGUGAGUCUGGGGAGGACAAUGAAAGAAUCUGACCGAUGGACACAUGGCAGAUGCAUGCAGAAAACUGGUAUCACCAUAUCUCUUCCUUAAUUCAUUAUCUUGAUAUCAUACUUCAAUUUGAGCAAAAUUUUUGGUAAGUUUUCCUUAACCAGAGUAAAAGAUGCAUCAAUUUCCAAUGCUAGAAGCCUAACCAAGAACCCCAAGCUAAAUCAGUGGAAUCAAAGAGAAGACACCUGGAAAAUCAUGACAUCCUCUUGGCAAGCCAAGCAAGUCUAGAUGCAUCUCCAGGACCACACACAUUUUCAAGAGUCUACCAUUGUUAGCAACUACUGCAAGGUUUUCCCUGCUAAGGACUAGGGUCAGUUUGUGUAGUGACUGUCAAUGCUUCAUGAGGAACUCGAGACCAAGAUGGCGGCUCUCUGCCUUCCCAAAUCUGUCCAAAAUGGCUGCUUGGGGGCACAACUCUCCCCAACAAGCUCAGAGUGCUUCCUUCAUAAUUGGUCCAUUGGAAUAAGUAGUUUUGUGCUAUGAGAAAGCAGUUCUUCCUCCACUUUACAUCGGGGGAACAACAAGUCCUGUCAUGGCUGCAAGAAAAGAACAACGCAGGAUUGAAACAUCAAGACUUUUUGGAGGGAAACUGAUCACAGAGAGGGGAGGCAGGAGUGGGGGUGAUAGACCCUAAUAUAACCCAGGGAGAUGGCGAGGUGUUCAUACGCGAGUGCGUUUUCUCCAGGACAGGGUUAAUGGAAACUUUGGUGCUAGCAACCUAUAUCAUCCCUGUUUGGCAGGUGCUUUACGAUUUCUGUAGGUUGAUGGGUCAUCUUGGACCGACGGAAGUAAACAUGGAAAUCAAAUUGUGGUAGACACAUCCCGCAUCACUAGGUGGACCCUGUAGGAAAACCCAGAUGCUGAAGCUGCUGAGUUCCUAGGCAUCGGUUAUCACAAACCAGCUUUUCUCUCCACCCUAAGGGUCUGCAUGAACACUGCACCCUCAACUGGAGUGGUGCU
ensembl:processed_transcript Gm10860 predicted gene 10860